rnacentral:tRNA from 3 species
AGCGGGGUGGGGAAGCUAGGUCUAUCCCGCGGGGCUCAUAACCCCGAGAUCCCAGGUUCGAAUCCUGGCCCCGCUA